AUGUCCCAUUGGAUCCCGUAGGUGACCCCAAUGUCCCAUUGAUGUCCCUAUGGGCCCCAUUGGGGUCUUCAUGUCCCUUUGGGGUCCCCCAUGUCCCAUUGAUGUCCCCAUGUCCCAUUAGGGUCCUCCAUGUCCCAUUGGGGUCUCCACGCCCCAUUGGGGUCUUCCACGUCCCCAUAUGUCCCCAUGGGUCCCCACUGAGUUCCUCCAUGUCCCAUUGGGGUCCUCCACGUCCCGUUGGGGUCCUCCAUGUCCCAUUGGGGUCUCCAUGUCCCACUGAUGUCCCCAUGGGUCCCACUGAGGUCCUCCACGUCCCCAUGUCAUCAAUCACUCUUUUAUUGAACACCUCCUACAAAAAGCCCCCCAAAGACCCCCAUAAUCCCCCCCAUCCCUCCCAUAUCCCCCCCAUAACCCCCCCAGCCCCCCAACUCACUCCCACUGAGCGAUGGCCGCCAUCAUGGCCACCCCGGCCAGCAGCGCGGCCAGCUGCAGCAGGGACUGCAUGGGGACGUCCCAUUGGGGUCCUCCGUGUCCCAUUGGGGUCCUCCGUGUCCCUUUGGGGUCCUCCAUGUCCCAUUGGGGUCUCCGUGUCCCCAUAUGUCCCCAUGGGUCCCCACUGAGGUCCUCCAUGUCUCCUUGGGGUCUCCAUGCCCCCAUGGGUCCCAUUGGGAUCUUCGUGUCCCAUUGGGUCCCCAUUGGGUCUUCAUGUCCCACUGACGUCCCCAUGGAUCCCAUUGGGGUCCCUCAUGUCCCACUGAUGUCCCCAUGGGUCCCACUGAGGUCCUCCACGUUCCCACGUCAUCGAUCACUCUUUUAUUGAACACCUCCUACAAAAAGCCCCCCAAAGACCCCCAUAAUCCCCACAUCCCUCCCAUAUCCCCCCAAAGACCCCCCCAGCCCCCC
rnacentral:lncRNA from 1 species